rnacentral:rRNA from 1 species
UACGUAGGGGGCUAGCGUUGUCCGGAAUCAUUGGGCGUAAAGAGCGUGUAGGCGGCCAGGUAGGUCUGCUGUGAAAACUCGAGGCUUAACCUCGAGCUGUCGGCGGAAACCAUCUGGCUAGAGUCCGGAAGAGGAGAAUGGAAUUCCCGGUGUAGCGGUGAAAUGCGCAGAUAUCGGGAAGAACACCCGUGGCGAAGGCGGUUCUCUGGGACGGUACUGACGCUGAGACGCGAAAGCGUGGGGAGCGAACAGG